UAGGGAAUCUUCGGCAAUGGGGGCAACCCUGACCGAGCAACGCCGCGUGAGUGAAGAAGGUUUUCGGAUCGUAAAGCUCUGUUGUAAGAGAAGAAUGACAUUGAGAGUAACUGUUCAAUGUGUGACGGUAUCUUACCAGAAAGGAACGGCUAAAUACGUGCCUAG
rnacentral:rRNA from 1 species